UUUUGCUUUCAAAUAACAGAAACCAUUAAGUUGUCACAUCCAGGCAGCCACGACCCCUAGUGCCAUAAAAAAAAUAUAUGGCUAUACGUUGGAAAUCGGAAAAACGGGAAAAGUGCCGAAAAGCUGGUGGAGUGCGACGGUAGCAUGGUGGGUGGGGUGGCGGUGCAUUGGGAAAAGCAAGCCACAAGUGAUUUUCGCCACUGGCUGUCGCGCUUUUCCGGGGGCAAAAAACGGGACCAGGAGUUGCCCCUUUGGUGCAAUGCAUUUGCAACUUAAUGCGCCGAAAGCUGCGAGUUUUUCGCUAAUGCACAAUUUGUAUGCGUCAACACUUUCGUCAGCGGAAAAGGGGCAGAACCAGCUAGCACCAAGUGGAGUUUCCACGGGCUUUCAUUUUUAUCAACGGAAAUAUCAAAAAGCCCAUUGAUAAGUUGGACUACCCACUGCCCACCAUCCAUCUUAUGCUUCUGCAAAUAGCUGCAUCCCAUCGCUUACCAAAGAACUAAGCCGAAAUGGAGGCCAAGUGAAUCAGUGACCUGCAAGACAUAAAAUCCUGUCCUCCUCAUCCGCAGCCUGCCGCUCGAUCCAGGGCCACCUGUUCGACGGCCAACUCUUUGGCAAUUUGUGUGCAUCGCCGACUGCAGAUGUUUUUCCUCUGCUCGGUUCGAGGUCUCGCUCCACAAACUUGCAGAUUUAUUGCCCAGAAACUUUUAUUGCCUGCAAGAAUAUGUACGGGCCGAGAUAAAGAUGCAAUCUGGAACUUGUUUGGCGAGUGGAACACUUUGCCAUCUGCCAUCCAAAAGAGUGUGGGGUAAUUGAAGUCACUCAGUCGUGGAGGUGGCACUAGUCCAGGUCGCAUUUGUCUAUCCCUGCGUUCCCAUUUAGACUCGGAUCUAGAUAUAUAAUUGAAAUUAAAUUUCAGGUUCUUUAAUACCAUAUUUGCCAAACUUAAAAGCAUGCUCCUAACGAUUGAUUGGACCGUUUACACAAACAUAAAUGUGCCCGAAAACGUUAUGAUUUACUUCAUUUUUGAUUUACUUGUUUUAUGUUUUUCUUUUUGAACAGCUUGCAGUAAACUUCGAACCUAAUCGGAAAUCUUAGCUCUAUUAACCUAUCGAUAGUUUUGUCACAACUUUCUCCCAUCCCUGAAAAAAGAGUGCAAGCAACUCUAAUUUUCUGCAUUUGAUGCCACUUGGAAACUUCUCAGAAUGGGGCCAGUGGAUCAAAACCCAGCAGCUAACCACGCUACGAGGAAAGGUAUUCAAAAAAAGGAAAAUAAGUUGCAAAAAUUAAAGGGGAGCAAUUGGAACGUGAAAAGUAAUAGCUUGCGGAAAGAAGGGUACCCAAAUGAGUCAGUUUGCAAAACCCAAGUUCAGACCGGUCCCAAUCCAACACUUAUUUCCGAUACGCACUACCAAUUGUUGGACUGAAGCUGCUACAAGAAUACCACCAGUGAUCUAUGCCACAUGGUCUUUGGGCGAGAGACAUUGGGAACCUAUUCAUUGACUGGGCGACCUGGCAGGUUCUCAGUGCUCCUGGCCAAGCAUUCCAAGCCCAAGCUAAAUUCCUCGAAGCUGAAGAACAUAGUGUUUCUGACCACACACAAGUUUCAGAUGGAUCGCAAGCAGGUGGAACUGGUGAUACGGCAGGUCUGCCGGAACGCAGCCAGAGGCUCGAGGAGGAAAGAUAAAUAAAGUCAACAUAUACUUUUGUAUUCACAAUAAAGAGUCCCAUUUCCAUA
rnacentral:sRNA from 1 species